AUUGAACGCUGGCGGCAUGCUUUACACAUGCAAGUCGAACGGCAGCGCGGGCUUCGUCCUGGCUGCGAGUGUCGAACGGGUGUGUAAUGCAUCGGAACGUGCCCAGCAUUGGGGGAUAGUCCGGCGAAAGCCGGAUUAAUACCGCAUACGACCUGAUGGUGAAAGCUGGUGACCGAAAGGCCUCUUGCUAUUUUAGCGGCGGAUGUCGGAUUAGCUAGUUGGUGGGGUAAAGGCUUACCAAGGCGACGAUCCGUAGCUGGUCUGAGAGGACGACCAGCCACACUGGGAGUGAGACACGGACCAGAGUCCUACGGGAGGCCGCAGUGGGGAAUUUUGGACAGUGGGGGCAACCCUGAUACAGCCAUGCCGCGUGCGGGAAGAAGGCCUUCGGGUUGUAAACCGCUUUUGUUCGGGAAGAAACCCUCUGGGCUAAUACCACGGGGGGAUGACGGUACCGGAAGAAUAAGCACCGGCUAACUACGUG
rnacentral:rRNA from 1 species